AUUGAACGCUGGCGGCAGGCCUAACACAUGCAAGUCGAACGAGUGGCGGACGGGUGAGUAAUGUAUGGGAACGUGCCUGAUGGAGGGGGAUAACUACUGGAAACGGUAGCUAAUACCGCAUACCAUCGGAUGUGCCGAGAUGGGAUUAGCUAGUAGGUGGGGUAAAGGCUCACCUAGGCGACGAUCCAGAGCUGGUCUGAGAGGAUGACCGGCCACACUGGAACUGAGACACGGCCCAGACUCCUACGGGAGGCAGCAGUGGGGAAGCUUGCACAAUGGGCGAAAGCCUGAUCCAGCCAUGCCGCGUGUAUGAAGAAGGCCUUCGGGUUGUAAAGUACUUUCGGCAGGGAGGCGGUACCUGCAGAAUAAGCACCGGCUAACUCCGUGCCAGCAGCCGCGGUAAUAC
rnacentral:rRNA from 1 species